AGCCGGUGAUGAAUUUAUAAUUUUCUGACACCUCGUAUGAGUGCUGCAAAAGCAUUUUGAUUACACUUUUUUUAUUCUGAGGCUU